rnacentral:rRNA from 1 species
AUUGAACGCUGGCGGCAUGCCUUACACAUGCAAGUCGAACGGUAACAGGUCUUCGGAUGCUGACGAGGGGCGAACGGGUGAGUAAUACAUCGGAACGUGCCUAGUAGUGGGGGAUAACUACUCGAAAGAGUGGCUAAUACCGCAUGAGAUCUACGGAUGAAAGCAGGGGAUCGCAAGACCUUGUGCUACUAGAGCGGCCGAUGGCAGAUUAGGUAGUUGGUGGGAUAAAAGCUUACCAAGCCGACGAUCUGUAGCUGGUCUGAGAGGACGAUCAGCCACACUGGUACUGAGAAACGGCCCAGACUCCUACGGGAGGCAGCAGUGGGGAAUUUUGGACAAUGGGCGCAAGCCUGAUUCAGCAAUGCCGCGUGCAGGAUGAAGGCCUUCGGGUUGUAAACUGCUUUUGUACGGAACGAAAAGCCCCGGGUUAAUACCCUGGGGUCAUGACGGUACCGUAAGAAUAAGCACCGGCUAACUACGUGCCAGCCGCCGCCGUAA